rnacentral:rRNA from 1 species
AAAUGACUCUCGACAACGGAUAUCUCGGCUCUCGCAUCGAUGAAGAACGUAGCGAAAUGCGAUACUUGGUGUGAAUUGCAGAAUCCCGUGAACCAUCGAGUUUUUGAACGCAAGUUGCGCCUAAGGCCAUUGGCCAAGGGCACACCUGCUUGGGUGUCACGU